AUGAACGCUAGCUACAGGCUUAACACAUGCAAGUCGAGGGGCAUCAGUUUGGUUUGCUUGCAAACCAAAGCUGGCGACCGGCGCACGGGUGAGUAACACGUAUCCAACCUGCCUCAUACUCGGGGAUAGCCUUUCGAAAGAAAGAUUAAUAUCCGAUAGCAUAUAUUUCCCGCAUGGGUUUUAUAUUAAAGAAAUUCGGUAUGAGAUGGGGAUGCGUUCCAUUAGUUUGUUGGCGGGGUAACGGCCCACCAAGACUACGAUGGAUAGGGGUUCUGAGAGGAAGGUCCCCCACAUUGGAACUGAGACACGGUCCAAACUCCUACGGGAGGCAGCAGUGAGGAAUAUUGGUCAAUGGACGCGAGUCUGAACCAGCCAAGUAGCGUGAAGGAUGACUGCCCUAUGGGUUGUAAACUUCUUUUAUAUGGGAAUAAAGUGGUCCACGUGUGGAUUUUUGUAUGUACCAUAUGAAUAAGGAUCGGCUAACUCCGUGCCAGCAGCCGCGGUAAUACGGAGGAUCCGAGCGUUAUCCGGAUUUAUUGGGUUUAAAGGGAGCGUAGGCGGAUUGUUAAGUCAGUUGUGAAAGUUUGCGGCUCAACCGUAAAAUUGCAGUUGAUACUGGCAGUCUUGAGUGCAGUAGAGGUGGGCGGAAUUCGUGGUGUAGCGGUGAAAUGCUUAGAUAUCACGAAGAACUCCGAUUGCGAAGGCAGCUCACUGGAGUGUAACUGACGCUGAUGCUCGAAAGUGUGGGUAUCAAACAGGAUUAGAUACCCUGGUAGUCCACACAGUAAACGAUGAAUACUCGCUGUUUGCGAUAUACAGUAAGCGGCCAAGCGAAAGCAUUAAGUAUUCCACCUGGGGAGUACGCCGGCAACGGUGAAACUCAAAGGAAUUGACGGGGGCCCGCACAAGCGGUGGAGCAUGUGGUUUAAUUCGAAGCAACGCGAAGAACCUUACCAAGUCUUGACAUCCUUCUGACAGAGUAUGUAAUGUACUUUCCCUUCGGGGCAGGAGUGACAGGUGGUGCAUGGUUGUCGUCAGCUCGUGCCGUGAGGUGUCGGCUUAAGUGCCAUAACGAGCGCAACCCUUAUCUUCAGUUACUAACAGGUCAUGCUGAGGACUCUGGAGAGACUGCCGUCGUAAGAUGUGAGGAAGGUGGGGAUGACGUCAAAUCAGCACGGCCCUUACGUCCGGGGCUACACACGUGUUACAAUGGGGGGUACAGAAGGCCGCUACCUGGUGACAGGAUGCCAAUCCCAAAAACCUCUCUCAGUUCGGAUCGAAGUCUGCAACCCGACUUCGUGAAGCUGGAUUCGCUAGUAAUCGCGCAUCAGCCAUGGCGCGGUGAAUACGUUCCCGGGCCUUGUACACACCGCCCGUCAAGCCAUGAAAGCCGGGGGUACCUGAAGUACGUAACCGCAAGGAGCGUCCUAGGGUAAAACUGGUAAUUGGGGCU
rnacentral:rRNA from 1 species